GGGAAUGUAGCCCAAUUGGCAGAGCAGGUGACUCUUAAUCACUUGGUUGCAGGUUCAAUUCCUGUCAUUCCCU
rnacentral:tRNA from 2 species